UUGGGUGACUGGGUAAUUGGGAUUCCAUUCAUACCAAUGGGGAAACUGGAGGUGGAGGUUUGCUGGUGGGGGUGGAGAUUCACAUGAAUUAAGUUUAGGAUCUGAUGACUUGAGGUGCUCGUGGGACAUCCAAAGGGAGAGGUCUGGCUGAUGGUUGGUUGAUUUAAGGAUUUGGAGGCCAGAGGAAAAGUGAAAACUGGAGUUAGAGAUUUCGAGGUCAUCACCCUAAAUCAAAUGCAGAUGAGUUAAGGGACCACAGAAUGCUCUGGACACAGUACAGAUUGAUUUUGGCAGAAACGACCAGUCAACAGACCUGCACAAGGAGGGGAAGAAUGUCUUCCUGGAAGGUCGGAGGGAAAAGAGACUCUGCUGACCAGCACCUGGGGCUCUGGGAGCAGCCCCACCACUGAUCUUCAGCACUGAGGGCCCAAGGUCAUCCAAUCCAGCCCCCUGCCUUCCUUCCAGGACCAGGACCAAGGUCCUUCUUCCAGGCAUUCCGCAGCCAGAAUCAGUGGAGCUAGAGGGCUUUAAAAGAGGCGGUGGAGUUUAACAGCUGUGCAGAGGCGACAAGAGAAGAGAAAAGGCAGUUAACUGCCAACAAGCAUCAUUCAGUGGCAUCUUCUACAUUCGACAUAGAACCGAUGUGCAGGUGAAGCAAAAUCCCUCCUGGAACCCAGGGAUGCUUAAGCAGCUGUGGGAACGUCCGAGGGCACGGGGGCAGCCGAUGUCUUUGAGGACCUCAGAGAUAUCCCACACAAACUUCCUUCUAGAAGAACUGGGGAAAUAACUCUUGGUAGUAGCGUCUGAAUCAGGCAGGGUCGAACCACGGCGGUUAAAAAACAGAGGAGUUCAGAAGUUUCAGAUACUGAGCAGGGAGAGGUGUCCAGUGGCGGAGGCCUCAAGGAGAAGCCAUAUUUUCAAUACUUCUGGGGUCAAGAGCGGCGGAACCCAGGAGCAGUGAAGCGUUGGAGCCAUCCUCACAGUGCUCCCUGAACCUCCCCGGGAUGAGGAGCUCCUUGUGGAAUGUCCUCCCACACUGGGAAGUGUGGGCAGUGGAUGGGGCAGUCAUCCUGCUGAGGGGAACUCCCUGCGGUCACCUCACCGACUCCCCAGAUGCACAGACACAAACACAUACGUAUCCUGAGGGACCACAUAUCCCCUUGCACAGAAGCCAGAAGGCGUGGGUUCAAGUCCCUCUUCCCCCAUGGAUCAAUGGCAUGCCAUCAUUGGUCACGUGUUACUUGCUAAACUCAGUUUUUUCAUCUAUAGAAUAAGGACAAUCGUGU